AGAGUUUGAUCAUGGCUCAGAAUGAACGUUGGCGGCGUGGAUUAGGCAUGCAAGUCGUACGGGCCGCAAGGCCAGUGGCGCAAGGGUGAGUAAGGCGACGGUAACCAACCCCAUGACUGGGCAUAGCCGCGGGAAACUGCGGGUAAUUCCCAGCGAUGUCUUCGGAGGGCAUCCCCUGAAGACCAAAGCUCCGGCGUCGU
rnacentral:rRNA from 1 species